rnacentral:rRNA from 1 species
ACGGGUGAGUAACGCGUGGGGAAUCUGCCUUUGAGCGGGGGACAACAUUUGGAAACGAAUGCUAAUACCGCAUAAAAACUUUAAACACAAGUUUUAAGUUUGAAAGAUGCAAUUGCAUCACUCAAAGAUGAUCCCGCGUUGUAUUAGCUAGUUGGUGAGGUAAAGGCUCACCAAGGCGAUGAUACAUAGCCGACCUGAGAGGGUGAUCGGCCACAUUGGGACUGAGACACGGCCCAAACUCCUACGGGAGGCAGCAGUAGGGAAUCUUCGGCAAUGGACGAAAGUCUGACCGAGCAACGCCGCGUGAGUGAAGAAGGUUUUCGGAUCGUAAAACUCUGUUGGUAGAGAAGAACGUUGGUGAAAGUGGAAAGCUCAUCAAGUGACGGUAACUACCCAGAAAGGGACGGAUAACUACGUGCC